rnacentral:lncRNA from 1 species
AUAAAUUUUUAUUGCUUCGGGGGGCAAUAACUUCUCAAAUUCUCUUCCAAGUUUGAAUCAAAAUGAAGCAUAAAGAGAAGUUUAAAAUAAUGGUGUUGAUCAUGAAAUAAAAUGGAGGGUUCGGAAUUGGAAUUAGUUGCAUCUGUUGAACCUUGGGAAAAACUCGAGAAAGUUUUAAACAAAAUAUAUAAUCAAUCAUAUUCUACAUAAACUUGCAUAUAGAUAUGUCUCUCCAGAUUCUUUUGUAGAACUACUUAAAUAUUAUGAUUUUGCUAACUUCAAAAUACAUCUUAUCUUAUCUUUUACACAUGUAAUACACAAUCAUAUUCCCCUUCUAAAAAAAAUCUAGUGCUUACAAUUUAUAGCUUUCAACAAAAGUAAAGAAAUGAAUAACUAACUACCACACGUUUACUUUAGGCAAUGAAGUCCAAGCACAAUAAGCACAAACUAGCUUCUGAGAUAUAUACACAUAAACAGAAAAAGAAAUACUCAUUAGAAACAAAUCUUUCCAAUCACCCUUUUGUUGUUGUGGACUUAAAUUCUUCAUCUUCUGUAGCCUCUUCCCAAUUACCUUCUCAAAAUCAUUCAAAAUUACUUUCCGUUUCCAUAAUGGUUGCUUCCCUUUUCCUCCACUUCCUAUGUCUUUCUUUUCUUCAUGAUUGGAAUUAAAGAUGGAUGGUCUUUUACCUUGGCAAGACAAUGGAACAAAAGGGGUCCCUAGUUUACACCAACAAGGUCCAAUAAUGAGAGAUGCCAUAGAAGGAUGUUUUUGUUUAAUGGAGUAGGAGUUGUAUUAUUAAUUUGAAGUCAACAUUUUGGUGCUCUUAUUUUUCAUUACUAAGCUAAAUUAUUGCACCUUAGAUAUUUUGUUCACAUGGAUUAGUUGAUGGAUAAGGGGUCUUUUAUUGACCCUAAACAUUGUGUGGAGGAGACACGAUAUAAUGGGAGAAAAUAAAAUAUAAAUGUUUUCUUUUCAAUAAUAAAAUAUUAUGUUGAAUGUUGAGAUGUCAACUUCAAGAUUAAUCUCAUAGUGUAUCUAAAUGAUUAAGCUUAUGAUUUGCAAACUACCUAAACUUAU